ACGGGGCCCGCACAAGCGGUGGAGUAUGUGGUUUAAUUCGAUGCAACGCGAAGAACCUUACCUGGUCUUGACAUCCCAGAGAUCCCUUGGAAACUUGGGAGUGCUUCCAUUAGGAAGAAUCUGGAGACAGGUGCUGCAUGGCUGUCGUCAGCUCGUGUCGUGAGAUGUUGGGUUAAGUCCCGCAACGAGCGCAACCCUUGCCUUUAGUUGCCAGCAGUUCGGCUGGGCACUCUAAAGGGACUGCCGGUGUUAAACCGGAGGAAGGUGGGAUGACGUCAAGUCCUCAUGGCCUUUAUGACCAGGGCUACACACGUACUACAAUGGCCGAUACAAAGGGCAGCGACAUCGCGAGGUGAAGCCAAUCCCAUAAAAUCGGUCUCAGUCCGGAUUGGAGUCUGCAACUCGACUCCAUGAAGUUGGAAUCGCUAGUAAUCGUGGAUCAGCAUGCCACGGUGAAUACGUUCCCGGGCCUU
rnacentral:rRNA from 1 species